GAAACAUUUACGCUCCACUGCACGUGGUCGUCGUGCGAAAUGGUGCGACAAAAAAAAAAUAAAAGAUUCAAGGCUCCUCUGUCACCAUUUGUGCAAAUAUAUAUAUAUGGUGCGCGAUAAAACCGCGCGCGUCCAUCGAAUACAUCAUUGCUGUGGUAUCUGCACUUAUCGAUGGACGUAUAUUCCCCCCGGUGUCUAUACGGCGGUGGAGACCUUUGAUUAUUUGACGUAGUCGUCCCCGAGAUUGGAGAAAAUUUAGGAGAAAGUGGACCUCGCUGCGAAUAUAGGAGUAGUUAAGGCAUUUCUGCUUAUCCGGAGGAAGUUGCGUUGAUAAACGCAUUGACUGGACUCAUUCAAAAGAAUCUAAUUUACUUGCUUAGAAACACAGCUGGUACCAUGGCUCUCCAUUCUGUAAACACUGGUGACGGUAAUUUGGAUAGUAAAAUCACAGAAUGGCUGCAGUGGAAUAAGGAUCCGAAAGCAGAAGAUGAAAUAUUGGAGUACUUGGACAAGGGACAGAUAAAGGUUUUAUCAAAAUUAUUUCUUAAGAGACUCGAAUUUGGUACUGCAGGUCUCAGAGGUCGUAUGGGACCAGGUUACAGUCAAAUGAAUGACUUAGUCAUUGUGCAAACUGGUCAAGGAUUAACGAAAUAUUUGAUGGAUACUAUAUUUGAUGUUGCCCAGAAAGGCGUCGUAAUAGGAUAUGACGGUCGUUACAAUAGUAAAAGGUUUGCAGAAUUAACUGCUGCAAUCUUCAUAACCAAUGGUAUUAAAGUUUAUUUAUUUUCCAAAAUCUGCCCCACGCCGUUUAUACCUUACACUAUCUUGAGAUAUAAGUGCGCUGCUGGGAUCAUGGUGACUGCUUCCCACAAUCCCAAAGAUGACAAUGGAUACAAGGUUUACUGGGAGAAUGGUGCACAAAUCAUACCACCACAUGAUAAGAAGAUACAAAGCUACAUUCUUGAUAAUCUUGAACCACUCGAAUCUUCAUGGAAUGGAAGCCAAAUUUACGAAAGUUCCUAUUAUAAAGAUCCAAGAGAUGAUAUUAUGCAGCAUUAUUAUCAAGAUUUGAAGGAUAAUGUUCUAUAUCCUGAAGUGAAUAAAAAUACCACAUUAAAAUUUACAUACACUGCCAUGCAUGGUGUUGGAUAUGAGUAUAUGAUUGCCGCGUUUGAGGCAGCAAACUUUAAGCCAUUCAUAGCAGUGGAAGAACAAAAACUACCAGAUCCAGAAUUUUCUACAGUGAAAUUUCCAAAUCCAGAGGAAGGAAAAAGCGCUCUAGAUCUUAGCAUAAAGUUAGCAAAUAGAAGCGACUCGUCUAUAAUACUCGCCAACGAUCCUGACGCUGAUAGACUUGCGUGCGCAACGAAGAAAGAGAGCGGGGAAUGGCAUGUCUUCUCUGGAAAUGAACUAGGCGCGUUACUGGGUUGGUGGAUGACUCAUAUUUAUCAAGUGUUACACCCUGAUGUCGAUAUGAGUGAGACAUAUAUGCUAGCGUCCACUGUUUCUAGCAAAAUCUUAGCUUCAAUGGGUAAGAAAGAAGGUUUUAAUUUCGAGGAAACUUUAACAGGUUUUAAAUGGAUGGGUAACAAAGCUAUAGACUUAAUGAAAGACAAUAAGGAAGUUCUGUUUGCAUAUGAAGAGGCUAUAGGUUUUAUGUGCGGCUCUAAAGUUCUAGACAAGGAUGGUAUCAGCGCUGCCGUACGCGUAGCUGAAUUAGCAGCUUAUCUCGAGACGAUAGGAUUAACUUUAUCUGAUAAAUUGAAAGAAAUAUAUGAAGAAUACGGCCACCAUAUCAGUGAUAAUUCCUAUUGGAUAUGUCAUGAACCGGAUAUCAUUAAGGCGAUAUUUGAACGACUAAGGAAUUAUUCGGGCAAAUCAGAUACAGUCGACAAAUAUAUGUGAUGCAUGAGGUAGCAUAAACUGGCCUACUACUUCGAAAGUGUAAUAAAACUGAUGCGCCAAUGUAUUUCUGCAUGUGUCAUCCUAGGUGACAGUUGUGUCGACAAUGGCGCUUUAUCGCAAUUCUUGUGAUAAAAUAAUAAUAACCAUGUAAACGUAAAGUGGUGUGUAUUGAAAGUUACUCUUAUCAAAGAAUACUUUUCUGUUUGGCAUUUCGUGCGCAGUUUGUUUUCUUACUUAACGAAUUUGUGUUUUAGUGCAUUAAUACGUUUGAUGCAUUCUAACAAUCGAGGAAAAUAAUUUCUAAAAGAUUUUGUUUAAUUACGUUUCCUUCUUUCUUCUCUCUUUGUCUUCUGCUAAUGCUUCUUAAGAUGACAAAAGAUAGUCUGUGCAGCAAGUAUGUAAAUGUGGUAGUUAUAUCAUUGACGCUGCUGCCUUCCGUGCUUCUUGCUGUUUUAUUUAUUCCAGUAGUAUUAUCGUUAUAUCAUCUCACAGGAUUUCUUGAGGAAGAAGCAGAUAUAAGCAUGGCUACCCAAGCGGAAUUCUGAACGGGAAAUAUAUAAUAAGUGGCAUUCGAGACUUAACAACUGGAUAUGACAAUACAAAACCUGAUAAUAAAGCAGUUCUACCUGUAUCAAAAUCUAGCCAAAUGAUCACCUUCACUUUCAAGAAUGGGCUAGUCACUACUUUAAGAACCAGUGGCACGGAACCCAAAAUAAAGUACUACAAUGAAUUGUGUGGAUCGCCCGGAGAAGACUUAAGCAAAUUAAAAAGCACUCUCAGCGAAAUGGUAUCUGCUAUUGUAGCAGAAUUCCUUCAACCGGAAGUGAAUGGACUUAUUGCCCGCGAGGAAUAAAUUAUGAUAAUUGUACUAUUAUGUGCGUACUAAAGAUUUACUCAUUUGAAUAUUUGCAUUAUAUAUUUUACUUUUACGAAUAAUUUGCAGUAAAUUGUCCAAUUCCUAAAUUUAUCGGCGAGCACUAUGUAUAUUUAUUCCAAUUUUACUAAGUUUAUAAUACAUUUACGAUGCAAUUAAUUUUAUUAUAUUAUAAAAUAAUGUUUUUAUUGUAAGCCUACAUACAAUGGAAAAUGGCUGUGUACUUUUAUAUGUUAAUAUUUGUUUUGUUGUUAAAAUUGAGGGAGACUUAGACUAGACUUUUCCUGUUUUUUUAAUUAAUAAAGAUAAUUGUUUGCGAGGCAGAAUGUAAGAAACGCACUUACAUAACGUUCUAUAUUUCUGCGGUUUAAAAAAAUUUAAACAAUGUAAUAUGAGCGAUAAAUUUAUACUAAUUAAAAUUGUCUAACAAUGAAAAAAUUCAUUUACCGAAGAUUAUUAAAAUUAACGACCUAAUAUUAAUGCAGUUGAAAACAUUUAUCAACAGUAAAUAUAAAACACUAAUUGUACAA